rnacentral:rRNA from 1 species
AGAGUUUGAUCAUGACUCAGAACGAACGCUGGCGGCGUGCUUAACACAUGCAAGUCGCGUGCGCAGUCUGUAGCAAUACAGGCCGGCGCACGGCGCACGGGUGCGUAACACGUGGGCAAUCUGCCCUCUGAUGGGGAAUAACCCCGCGAAAGCGGGACUAAUUCCGCAUAAAAUUCCGAGGACUUCGGUUUUUGGAUUCAAAGCAGUAAUGCGUCAGAGGAGGAGCCCGCGCCCGAUUAGCUAGUUGGUGAGGUAACGACUCACCAAGGCAAUGAUCGGUAGCUGGUCUGAGAGGAUGAUCAGCCACACUGGAACUGAGACACGGUCCAGACUCCUACGGGAGGCAGCAGUGGGGAAUCUUGCACAAUGGGCGAAAGCCUGAUGCAGCGACGCCGCGUGGGGGAUGAAGCUUUUCGGAGUGUAAACCCCUUUCGACUGGGAAGAAAACCCGCAAGGGAUUGACGGUACCAGUAUAAGAAGCCCCGACUAACUACGUGCCAGCAGCCGCGGUAAGACGUAGGGGGCCAGCGUUGUUCGGAAUUACUGGGUGUAAAGGGUUCGUAGGCGGUGCGGCAAGUUGGGAGUGAAAUCUCUGGACUCAACCCAGAGACUGCUUCCAAAACUGCUGUGCUUGAGUGUGAGAGAGACUCGUGGAAUUGCAGGUGUAGCGGUGAAAUGCGUAGAUAACUGCAGGAACACCCGUGGCGAAAGCGGCGAGCUGGAUCACUACUGACGCUGAGGAACGAAAGCUAGGGGAGCAAACAGGAUUAGAUACCCUGGUAGUCCUAGCCCUAAACGAUCAGGACUUGGGGUGCCGCCCGUUCGGGCGUCGUCCCGGAGCUAACGCGUUAAGUCCUGCACCUGGGGAGUACGUCGCAGACUGAACUCAAGAAUUGACGGGGCCCCGCACAAGCGUGGAACAUGUGGUUCAAUUCGACGCUACGCGAGGAACUUACCUGGGCCUC